GUUUCUGACCAGAUAACUUUCGAAAUAAUGUGUUAGAUCUUCCAUUAACUCAACAUAUAUUUCUGUUUUGUAGGAUCUGUUGCAUUUGGCCUUAUCAUGAUCAAGGUAUUAUCGUCAGGCCAUCGAAAGAGAGAAACUUCACAUCAUCCAAAAUAUCGUAACCUAAAAGCACUGGUACAGUUGAAACAGUACAGUUAUGCAGAAGUGAAGAAAAUUACAAAAUCAUUUUCCCACACAGUUGGGAAAGGAGGAUUUGGAACUGUAUAUGGAGGAAACCUCUGCGACGGUCGUAAGGUUGCAGUGAAAAUCUUGAAGGACUGUAAGAGCAGUGGUGAAGACUUCAUCAACGAAGUCGCAAGCAUGAGCCAAACAUCUCAUGUUAACAUUGUUUCCUUGCUUGGUUUUUGCUAUGAAGGGUCCAAAAGAGCUAUUGUGUAUGAGUUCCUCAAGUAUGGGUCUCUAGAUAAGUACAUAUCUAGUAAGAAGUCGUUGAAUCUGGAUGUGGGAACACUAUAUGGAAUCGCGCUAGGUGUUGCUCGAGGACUUGAGUACUUACACCAUGGGUGCAAAACAAGGAUUGUUCAUUUUGACAUCAAACCUCAAAAUGUACUAUUAGAUGACAAUCUCUGCCCCAAAGUCUCAGACUUUGGCCUCGCGAAGCUCUGCGAAAAAAGAGAAAGCGUUAUGUCUUUGCUAGACGCAAGAGGAACGAUAGGUUACAUUGCACCGGAAGUCUUCUCAAGAAUGUACGGUAGAGUCUCCCAUAAGUCAGAUGUCUAUAGUUACAGAAUGUUGGUCCUUGAGAUGAUCGGAGCAAAGAACAAAGAAAUAGCAGAAACCGCUGCUUCUAAUGCUAGUUCGACUUACUUUCCAGAUUGGAUUUAUCAGGAUCUUGAAGAUGGAGAACAUAUAUGGAUAACUGGUGAUGGAAUAACAAGAGAGGAAAACAAUAUUGCAAAGAAGAUGAUAUUGGUAGGUCUCUGGUGUAUUCAACCUUACCCAUCACAACGUCCACUGAUGAACAAAGUCGUUGAGAUGAUGGAAGGAAGCUUGGAUGCUCUUGAAGUCCCACCCAAACCUUAUAUGCAAAAUUCUGCAACGCCUCUUCCAGAAUCUUCAUGGUUUUCGGAGGAGAAUUCAAACAAUUCUGAGCUACAAGUUGAAAAGUUAUUUUCUGCAUAAGUAUUUUGUUGAAGAAAAGACUUUGUAAUUUAAAAUCUAAAAUGUUUAAAAGAACUUUUCUUAUAUGUGAUGCAUAAGCUUGACUUUAUUUCCUUUUGUAGACUUUUUUCUUAUAAUUUUCCUUUCAUACAAAAGAAAAUAUACUUACAAAGAGUGAGGAAUUCUCCAGCACUAUUAGGGUUUAGCUUUGUAACAUUGGCCAUGUUCUUGUUCUAUAACCUUCCUUGUACUCUAAGCAACCAAGCUCUCUUUGUCAUGCGACUCUGUGUUCUACUGUGGAAACAUCACAGCCAAAUUCCCCUUCUUGGGAGAGAGAGAAUUUUGGCGAACAUUAUGGUCAUCCAUAUAUCUCUGAAGGUUAGCUGUAACAAUUUUAGACAACACACUCUUAACUUGUCAGACAAGAUUAUUCUCAUUGCUUCUGCUCUGUUCUAUAACUCAAACUAUCCAACAUAUAGUUCUGUUACUCGGAUAGGGUCAAGUAUCCUAGAUAUAGUAGGUACUUGAGUAUUUAAAGCAAUGUAAUCCUGAUAGCACAUGUAUCUUGAAUCUAGUAUAAGCAAGUAUGAUGGGUAAUUUCACUAAUUUGUGCCAAGAAUAACAAAAAAAAAAAAAGGAACAGAUCUUGUCUUUAAUUUUCAAGUCUCAAAAUAUGACUAAGUCUUCUCAUAAUUGUGAGAUGUUGUGAAGUUUAUGCGGAAGUUUCUGCUGUCAGAGAUAAUUAAUUUGUCUAAUCACUCUCAUUUCCAGUGAAGAAGAAGUCUUUUUGACUUUUAUUUUUUAAUCUAGUUUAAAAAAGUUCAACUAUCAUCUUGAACUGGACAAACACGAUUGAUUCGUCUUAGUUGAGUUAGUAAAAGAUGAUCAUGUUCUUCUCUUUCUUUUUUUUAUUCAUCCUCUUCAUAGUUAUUAGUUUCCAAAAAAUCAGAGGACAGCACCACCAUGAUCAAUCUUUCUCUAUCUCCAACAAAUUCUUGGUCAUAUACAAUCAUAUGGAUGCUUUGUGUGAUCCCCUCUUGUGUUUUAUCAGCUGACGAGCGUCACAAACACUGCUCUUCUGGGUUUAGCUGUGGCAAUCAGAGAGAACUUAAUUAUCCCUUUUGGAUACCUGAGAGAGAGGAGUGCGGUCACCCGGUUUUCAAGGUCAACUGCAGCGGAGAUUUCGCAGAGUUUACUAUAUCGACCGUUAAGUUUCAAAUCCUCGAGAUGAACUAUGAGUCUCGUGUAAUAAGACUAGUCAGAACGGAUUAUCUCAACAAUCUUUGUCCUUGGCAUCCUGAGAACAGAUCAAUCAACCAAGACGUCCUUCCAUUUCUUCAAGACACCGAGCUAGGAACUUUUUAUUACAACUGCUCUGGUCCAAGUGUAGACAAACUUCCCAAUGGUUACAUCAGACAGCUUGGGUGUGAUGAAGAAGUUGGUGGGCAAAGUUACUUUGUCUCGUCCCCUUCACAUCCUGGGAAUAGAGCUAUCUUAGAUGGGUUAAGUGCAUCGUGUGAAAGAAACGUCGAUGUUCCUGUCUCUCGAUCCGCCAUGGGGACAACAGAGACAAAUCAGAGUCUUGAGGCUAUAAAGAAGGUUCUUGAUAAGGGUUUCGAACUUAGCUUUAAAAUUGACUGUUCCCAGUGCGUUGCAUCAGGCGGUUCUUGUGGCUUUAAGCAGAGCUCAAAAGCAUUCGUCUGCUAUUGUAAAGAUCAGCCUCACGAGCAUACUUGUGGAAAGAUGGGUAAUGGCUUGUAACUCAUUUUUCCGACUGAUAUACACUAAUCUCAAUCUUAGUUCACUCCAAUGUUCUUCCACAAGAACCUGAAUUUUUUUUGAAGUACGAUUCUAAGUUCUGUCUGGCGUUUAGACUGACAUUUUGGUAUUUAUUCAUGCAGGGAUCUCCAAAAAGGCAAAAAUAGGUAUAUGUUUUAUCCUUUUUCUUCCAAGAUUCAAGGAAAAUGAUCUCAGUGGAACAUACCUAAUAAGUAAUAGCAUAAACUUAUGAAGGUCUUGUCUUAUGUUUUUUUCUAGGCAUUGGAAUCGGUUGUGGAUUUUUGGGUGCCACUCUUAUUACCGGAUGUUUGCUCUGUUUCAUUAUCCAAAAGAGACGAACUUCAUCUCAUCCAAGACCAAGAGACAAUAACCUAAAUGAGCUAGUACAACUGAAACAGUACAGUUAUGCGGAAGUGAGGAAAAUUACAAAACUAUUUUCACACACAGUUGGGAAAGGAGGAUUUGGAACUGUCUAUGGGGGAAACCUCUGCGAUGGUCGUAAGGUUGCUGUGAAAAUCUUGAAAGAUUUUAAGAGUAAUGGUGAAGACUUCAUCAACGAAAUCGCAAGCAUGAGCCAAACAUCUCAUGUUAACAUUGUUUCUUUGUGAUAUGUUGUGUUUUUAUCGGUUUUGAGUCUUUGUUUUCUUUCUUACAUCAUAUGUUUUAUCGAGUCAAAGUGUGUUUUUAGAGUCUUUUAGUCGUUUAUCGAGUCUCUACAGGUUUUAGGUUGCUUCGGAGGAAAACGAGCUGUUUUGGGAUAUAAACACACAUUUGGAGAUGCAGUUUCGUUUAGAAGUGUCAGACGUUUUGCCUCAGAUGGAAUACUUUCCACCGUUAGAUCUUUCUGUAUUUUUGAAACAAGUUAGAUGAAGAUUUUAGCUUGAGCUUACAAGUGGUUUGAAGGAAAUCUAACGGUGCAUUCAAGAUUUAUACCCGAAUUAGUGAAGACAGGUCAUUCUGCCGAGCAUUUGAAGCAGUUGCGGAGUUGGAGACCAGAAGAUCCAGAUCGAUCGAUCCACAAGUGGAUCGAUCGAUCCCAUCCUCUUACGGACGAGAAGCAGUUUCCAGUGACUCGGGAUCGAUUGAUCCACUCACCGGAUCGAUCGAUCCCUUCCCCAGACGUACUUUUGGCCCAGAUCCGACCCGGCUCGUUUCCUAUUGUUUUAAAACCCUAUGCUCGACUCUUUACACAUGAUCUUGGAUAUUUUUGAGUUCUAAACUUUGUUCUUUGGUUUUGAAAACAAUUUUGGGCAAAGGAAUCCAUCCUCUUGACACUUGGAGAAGAUUUCUAAACCCUAUCUUGUUAUUUCUACAAUUUCAUUAUGUUUUCUUCAUUGAUUUUUGUUAUCUCUUUUUCUAUGUGUGAGUAGUUCUCCUAUUGGGUUCUAGGGUUCUAAUAGGAGAUUCAAUGGAUUGAUGGAUUGAUUGUUGUUUGGAAUUCUCAUUCUCCAGGUUCUUUGAUUCACAUGUUCUUAAUGCUAGAAUAGGAUUGAUCACCCUGUUGUAGAUUCUAGGUUUUUCUAUGCAUCAAAAGUGUUCGAUAGAAUGCCUGAAAGAAUGUGAAUUGAGCAAUGUAUUUCUAGCCAACGAAAGUUGAAGUUAGGACGCAUUGUGAACUAAAUGAACUUGUUUGGUAAUGCGAAUUUGACUAGGAGAUUGCAUGCGAAAGUUUAGUAAUCGAGUAGUUAAAUUUAGUGAUUAAUGUCUUGAAAGAGAAUUAGUCUAAAUGUGUUCAUGUUCAAGAAUGGUGCUUAAUUGUUGAAUUCCUUGUCUCAUGUUUCCAUUAUUCGUUAAUCUCUGAAUACCCUAUAGCCCAAUGUCUUUAAGUCUUGAAGUCAAAUCGUUUAAUUAAUUUGCAUUUUUAUUUUAAAAUCUGAAAACCAAACAAACAACCUUUCCGCUUUAGCUAAGAACGAGUCUCGGAAAUCUUUAGUGUACCAUUGGUUCUUGUGGAUCGACCCCGUAUAUACUACCUUGCGGUUAAGUGUAUCGGGUAAUUACUCGAGCAAUCACUUUGCUCGGUUUUUGCUAUGAAGGGUCCAAAAGAGCAAUUGUGUAUGAGUUUCUAGAGAAUGGGUCGCUGGAUCAAAU
rnacentral:lncRNA from 1 species